rnacentral:rRNA from 1 species
CUCUUCGAUGUUCUGGGUUGCACGCGCGCUACAGUGGCAAAGACAGAGAGCAUGAAUUAAUUAUAGAGUCGCAUCGAGGGAUGUGACGAAUCAGCAAUCGUUGUCGUGAUUGGGAUUGAGCGUUGUAAUAUUUGCUCAUGAAAGAGGAAUUCCUCGUAAGCGCGAGUCACUAACUCGUGUUAAUUACGUCUCUGCCCUUUGUACACACCGCCCGUCGCUACUACCGAUUGAACUGGUUUUUGAAGUGUAGAGAUUGGCAGGCAUGGUUUACGUGCAUUGCAAAGAACCACUCUGAAAAAAUCGUUCGAGAAGAAGUAAAAGUCGUAACA